rnacentral:rRNA from 1 species
UAAGGAAUCUUCCACAAUGGGCGCAAGCCUGAUGGAGCGACGCCGCGUGGACGAAGAAGCCUUUCGGGGUGUAAAGUCCUUUUCUCGGGGAUGAGAUGGACAGUACCCGAGGAAGAAGCCUCGGCUAACUACGUGCCAGCAGCCGCGGUAAUACGUAGGAGGCAAGCGUUGUCCGGAAUUACUGGGUGUAAAGCGCGUGUAGGCGGCAGGCUAAGUCUGGGGUGAAAUCGCCCGGCUCAACUGGGCGGGGUCCCUGGAAACUAGUCAGCUGGAGGACGGUAGAGGUGAGUGGAAUUCCCGGUGUAGUGGUGAAAUGCGUAGAGAUCGGGAGGAACACCCGUGGCGAAGGCGGCUCACUGGGCCGGUCCUGACGCUGAGACGCGAAGGCGUGGGGAGCGAACGGG